rnacentral:lncRNA from 10 species
UUUUUAUAUACCAAAAUGAUCUAGUUGAAAAAGAAAUCAAGAAACCAAUCCCAUUUACAAUAGCUACAAAAAAUAAAAUUCCUAGAAACAAAUUUAACCAAGGAGGUGAAAAGCCUACCUCCACAACAGAAACUAGAAAAAACUGAUGAAAAAAUUGAAAAAGACACAAGCAAAUGGAAAAACAUCCCAUGCUCAUGGGUUGGAAGUAUUAAUAUUGCUAAAACGACCAUAGUACCCAAAGCAACCUACAAAUUUAAUGCAAUAUCUACCAAAAUACCAAUGUAAUUUUUCACAUAAAUAGAAAAAACAAUUCUAAAAUUCAUCUGGAACAUAUGAGAAAGAGCCAGAAUAGCCAAAGCAAUCCUGAGCAAAAAGAACAAAGCUAGAGCCAUCACACUACCUGACAUCAAAAUAUACUACAAAGCUAUGGUAACCAAACCAGCAUGGUAUUUGUUUAAAAACAAACACAUAUGCCAAUGGAACAGAAUAGAGAACCACCCAGAAAUAAAUGCAUGUAUUUAAAGCCAACUGAUUUUUGACAAAGGUGCCAAAAACAUUCACUGGGGAAAGAACACCCUCUUUAAUAAAUGUCCUGGGAAAAGUGUAUAUCCAUAUGCAGAAGAAUAAAACUAGACCCCUAUCUCUCAUCCUACAUACAAAUCAACUUAAAAUGGAUUAAAGAUUUAAAUGUAAGACCCAAAACUAUAAAACUACUAGAAGAAAAAUAGGGGAAAUAUUCAGGAUACUGGUCUAGUCAAUGAUUUCAUGGUUAAGACUUCAAAAGCACAGAUAACUAUAACCCCAAAAGACAAAUGGGAUUAUAUUAAACUAAAAACUUCUUCACAAGAAAGGAAGCAAUGAAUGGGGUGAAGAGAAAAUUCAUUGAAUUGGAUAAAAUAUUUGCAAACUAUACCUUUAAAAGGCACUAGUAUCCAGAAUAUAUAAGGAGCUCAAAGAACUCAACAAUAAUAAAAAAAUCUCAUUAAAAAGUAGGCUAAGGACAUGAAUAGACAUUUCUCAAAAGACUUACAAACAGGUACAUGAAAAAUAUUCAGCAUCACUAAUCAUCAAGGAAAUGCAAAUUGAAACCACAAUGAAAUAUCAUUUUAUCCCAAUUAGAAUGGCUACUAUUAAAAACACAAAAAAUAAUAGAUGCUGGUGAGGUACAGAGAAGAGGAAAUUCUUAUACUCUGUUGAUGGAAAUAUAAAUUAGCACAACUACUACGGAAAACAAUAUAGAGAUUUCUCAAAAAACUAAAAAUAGAACUACCGUAUGAUCCAGCAAUAUCACUACAAGGUAUUUAUCCAAAGGAAAAAAAAUUGUAUAUCAAAGAGAUACCUGCACUCACAUGUUUAUUGUGACACUAUUCACAAUAGCUAAGAUAUGGAAUCAACAUACAUGGCCACUGACAGAAGAAUGGAUAAAGAAAAUGUGGUAUAUAUACACAAUGGAAUAUUAUUCAGCCAUAAAAUGAAUAAAAUUCUGUCAUUUGCAGCAAUGUAGGUAGAACUGGAGGUCAUUAUAUUAAGUGAAAUAAGCCAGGUGUAGAAAAAUAAAUAUUGCAUGUUCUCACUCACAUGUGGGAGCUAAAAUAGUUGAUUUCAUGGAGGAAGGGAGUAGAAUGAUGGCUACCAGAAGCUGGAAAGAAGGGGAGGGAAAUGAAUAGAGAUUGUUUAUUGGGUACCAAUAUACAGUCAGAUAGCAAGACAAGUUCUAGUGUUUGACAGCACAGUAGGGUGACUAUAGUUAACAAUAAAGUAUUAUUUAUUUCAAAAUAGCUGGAAAAGUAGAAAUGUUCCCAACAAAAAGAAAUGAUAAUUAUUUGAGAUGAUGGACAUCCUAAGCACCCUGAUUUGAUCAUUUCACAUUAUAUGCUUAUAUCAAAAUAUCACAUGCACCCCAUAAAUAUGUACAAUUAUUAUGCAUCAAUUAAUUAAUUUGAAAAUGUCUCUUCUAAUAUUUCUAAUAAAAUUGGUGCUCCAGGAAGAUAUGUUCUGUUUAGCAUAAUAUCAUGUAUACACCCUGCAUGUGUGUAUCUCUGAGCAUAUGUGCAGAUUUGUUUUAAAAUCAUAAACAAGGUAGGAUAAAAUAGAAACUCCUCAACUUACUACUUAAAACCCAUCGUGAUCUGGCUACCUACCAACCCAGCUUCACUUCUAUUACUGCCUUACUUGCAUCCUAUAUCGUAAGCAUAUCAAACUUCUUGUUAGUCUUUUCAUCACCUGUCCUAUUUCAUACCUCUGUAACUUUGCAUAUACAGUUUCCUUUGCCUGAAAUACCCCUCUUCGUUGUCUAUCAGGUAAAAACAUAUUUAUCUUUCAAGUCUCAGGUCAAAUUAUUCCUCCUUAUGGAAAUGUCACUCAUUAUCCCAGGCAGAAAUAAGAAUUCAUUCUCCACUCCCACUGUUCUUUAUACCAAGUCCAUACUGUGUCGAUUAUUUCAUUAUAUUUUAAUAACCAUCAUUUGUUUAUAAAAUGUAUUUUUCAUCAUUAUCACCCAUCAUUGUCACCUAGCAUAGCACAUAUUUAUUAAUGUAUCAAUAUUUGUUGAAUGAGACAUUUUGGGUCCAGGAAUUUAAAGACACAGGAAAACACCCCCUAAACACUCAAUUUCUAAGAUUAUAUUUGAUAUUUUCCUAGAGGGACAAGGGCCUGCUUGACAGAACUUUACACAGAAUGGAUGUGAAAAUUCUCAUAUCCACCCUACAAAACCCCCUGAAGUUCCCAAGGCUCUGUGACUGCUCAGCCUCACUGACCUUUGUUUUCUCUGAACUGUGAACAUAUAAACUUUCAAAAGCCCAAUUUCCCAUUGAGAAAAACCAGGCAGUCAUGGGGUAACAGAAUAAAUCUUCAAAAACUGAAUCUUUACCUACUGAUAACAUAAAACUCUCUUUUGUAGGUUGGAGGAAAAAUUUGGACAGAUAGCUAUUUCAAAUGUUGCAUAAAUCCAACGAUCAUAAUUUUUGCUCAUCUGCCAUGUGAUCUGUCUUUUGUACUCUGUUGAAAGACAUCAGAUGAUGAAGUGGACCCUGGCAAGUGCAGCCUGCAGAAGGGCAGACCUUUAAACCUGGGAAAAGCUAAUGAAGAUGCAGUAAACCUGAAACAUACUAAAAGAAUAUGUAAAUAUGUAAAUGUGUGUGUCUAAGAAAGUGAGUUUCAGUUGCAGAAAAAGUUCCUCAGUUUAGAAGCUGUUAAUGAAGAAUGUGAAUGUUCUAAAAUAUUUCACAAAGGAGGCAUCUCUUGUUCUGAGACAGAAGUAACACUUAAAAAAAUGGAAUGUGAAGAUGGCCGAAUAGGAACAGCUCUGGUCUACAGCUCCCAGCAUGAGCAACGCAGAAGACGGGUGAUUUCUGCAUUUCCAUCUGAGGUACCGGGUUUGUCUCACUAGGGAGUGCCAGACAGUGGGCGCAGGUCAGUGGGUGCACGCACGGCGAGGCAUUACCUCACUCGGGAAGUGCAAGGAGUCAGGGAGUUCCCUUUCCUAGUCAAAGAAAGGGGUGACAGACAGCACCUGGAAAGUUGGGUCACUCCCACCCAAAUACUGCGCUUUUCCAAGGGGCUUAAAAAACGGUGCACCAGGAGAUUAUAUCCCGCACCUGGCUCGGAGGGUCCUACGCCCAUGGAGUCUCGCUGAUUGCUAGCACAGCAGUCUGAGAUCAAACUGCAAGGCUGCAGUGAGGCUGGGGGAGGGGCACCCGCCAUUGCCCAGGCUUGCUUAAGUAAACAAAGCAGCUGGGAAGCUCAAAC